GGAGAGAUGCGAGAGCGGUUGAAUCGGACGGUCUCGAAAACCGUUGAGCCCGUCAGGGCUCCGAGGGUUCGAAUCCCUCUCUCUCCG
rnacentral:tRNA from 1 species